CCUACGGGUGGCAGCAGUGAGGAAUAUUGGUCAAUGGGCGCAAGCCUGAACCAGCCAAGUCGCGUGAGGGAUGACGGUCCUAUGGAUUGUAAACCUCUUUUGUCGGGGAGCAAGGCUCGCCACGUGUGGCGGUAAGGAGAGUAGCCGAAGAAAAAGCAUCGGCAAACUCCGUGCGAGCAGCCGCGGUAAUACGGAGGAUGCGAGCGUUAUCCGGAUGUAAUGGGUUGAAAGGGUGCGUAGGCGGAAGGUUAAGUCAGUGGUCAAAUGUCGGUGCUCAACACCGGCCUGCCGUUGAAACUGGUCUUCUUGAGUGAGCGAGAAGUAUGCGGAAUGCGUGGUGUAGCGGUGAAAUGCAUAGAUAUCACGCAGAACUCCGGUUGCGAAGGCAGCAUCCCGGAGCUCAACUGACGCUGAGGCACGAAAGCGUGGGGAUCGAACAGGAUUAGAUACCCUAGUAGUC
rnacentral:rRNA from 1 species